GCCAAAAAUUUGAUCUUUAUUUAAAAUAUGUGUGUUGUCCAUGAAAUGUUGAUGUGGAAAUAUCGAGGAAGGCUAAGGGCAAAAAUUGGAAUUUUGAAAAUUAGUUUCGGGAAUUACAAAAUAAGACCUAUAUUCAAUUGGACUCAAAAAAAUAAAAAUAAAGAACAAGAGGCCCAAUUCAAGGGGGUGGCCGGCCAACCAACUACAUGGCCCAAGUCCACAAUUAAAUGAAAUCCAUGUAUUAUAAAGCAAAGAGGGGACCAUUUAUUCUUCAUCUUACUAGAACAUUCAAGAUCAACAAACAAAAAAAAAAAGAAGAGAGCAAGUGAGAGGAAGGGCAUUCGGCCCUAAGAGAAAGAAAGAAAAAAAAAUUGUGGAGCUCAAAUCUUUGGUUCAAACUCAUCUCUUUUGAAUUCCUAUUAAGUUGGAAACCCUCUUCAAUGUGAUACAAAUUUGGAGGCAAGAAAGUACUUUUUUUAUCAAGUGGAAAUUCUUGAAAAAGAUCUUGGAGAACCCGAGACUUGAGUCGGGAUUUAUCUAGUGAGUGAUCGGGAUUUGUUAGCGAGCAAUUGAGGUACAGAAGUUUGUUUUGGUGAUCCUCCGGUAUAGGAUACAUAUUCCGCCACUUGGAGUCCUCCUUUUGAUCCGGAGCUCAUAGUUUGGUACAUAUCUUCUGUUAUACACAUUCUGUAUAUAUGACUAUUUGGGUACGGCGGGGCCCUGUCCCGUCAUAUGUUUCUGUUAUGUUUUGUCGAGGCAUGUAGUCAUAUAUGUGGGUCAUGGGUCAUGUUUGUUCGUUUGUGAUUAUGAUGUGCGUCUUAAUGCGGCCCCGUUUACUAUUAUGGCCAAAACGGCCC